UACGGAGGGUGCAAACGUUGCUCGGAAUCAUUGGGCGUAAAGCGCACGUAGGCGGACUCUUAAGUCGGUGGUGAAAUCCUGGAGCUCAACUCCAGAACUGCCUUCGAUACUGGGAGUCUCGAGUCCGGGAGAGGUGAGUGGAACUGCGAGUGUAGAGGUGAAAUUCGUAGAUAUUCGCAAGAACACCAGUGGCGAAGGCGGCUCACUGGCCCGGUACUGACGCUGAGGUGCGAAAGCGUGGGGAGCAAACAGG
rnacentral:rRNA from 1 species